UGGGGAAUAUUGCACAAUGGGCGCAAGCCUGAUGCAGCAACGCCGCGUGAACGAUGAAGGUCUUCGGAUCGUAAAGUUCUGUUGCAGGGGAAGAUAAUGACGGUACCCUGUGAGGAAGCCCCGGCUAACUACGUGCCAGCAGCCGCGGUAAUACGUAGGGGGCUAGCGUUAUCCGGAUUUACUGGGCGUAAAGGGUGCGCAGGUGGUCUUUCAAGUCGGUGGUUAAAGGCUACGGCUCAACCGUAGUUAGCCUCCGAAACUGGAAGCCUUGAGUUCAGGAGAGGAAAGUGGAAUUCCCAGUGUAGCGGUGAAAUGCGUAGAUAUUGGGAGGAACACCAGUAGCGAAGUCGGCUUUCUGGACUGCAACUGACACUGGGGCACGAAAGCGUGGGUAGCAAACAGG
rnacentral:rRNA from 1 species